rnacentral:rRNA from 1 species
AUUGAACGCUGGCGGCAGGCCUAACACAUGCAAGUCGAGCGGAUGAAGGGAGCUUGCUCCUGGCUUCAGCGGCCGACGGGCGAGUAAUGCAUAGGAAUCUGCCUGGUAGUGGUGGCUGAGGUCAGGAAACGGGCGCUAAUACCGCAUACGUCCUGAGGGUGAACGUGGGGGAUCUUCGGACCUCACCCUAUCAGAUGAGCCUAGGUCGGAUUAGCUAGUUGGUGGGGUAAAGGCCUACCAAGGCGACGAUCCGUAACUGGUCUGAGAGGCUGAUCAGUCACACUGGAACUGAGACACGGUCCAGACUCCUACGGGAGGCAGCAGUGGGGAAUAUUGGACAAUGGGCGAAAGCCUGAUCGAGCCAUGCCGCGUGUGUGAAGAAGGUCUUCGGAUUGUAAAGCACUUUUAUUUGGGAAGAAGGGAAGUAUGUUAAUCCCUUGCUGUUUUGACGGUACCAACAGAAUAAGCACCGGCUAACUUCGUG